CACCACCACCACCACCACCACCACCACCACCAUCACCAUCAUCGUCAGAGUGUGGAUCUCUCUUUAGGACAGGGACAUAUGUGGGCUCCUAGCCAAGAGAACUUGGAUUCCUUCUGCAGGAGAAAACUGGCUGCUUCACAGCUGUUGCCUCCUGCUCUGGAGAAGGCUGAGGGUCGAGCUGGCUGCAGGGAUUCAUCUCCCAGGAGGGACAAGAGCCCCAGCUAUAUCCCACCCCGUGAGGAUGGCAACGGGGUCAACUGUGCCCUUUGCUGGCCAUCGCAGGCAGUGGGGGCAGAGCAAAGCCUGGAACAGCGGGGACUGGAAGAAACAAACUUGGAACUUCCACACUGGUGUCAUUUAAGUAACAACCACGUUGCUCAGGAGCUCCGAGGCCUCUCUUAUCUCCCUGGGGUCCAUCCUUGGCUGUACCCAAGUGUAUGAGCACAGCAAGCUCACCACUCACUCACCACAGCACCCACCUGAAGCCUAGCAGACUGCUUCAGCCUGGUCCCCACAGGGCAGGAUGCAUAACCACGCCCCUGAUGGCAUCCCUCCAAACAGCACCAGCUACCUGGCAGGUCCCACCUCUUGGUGCCACUACCAGAGCCUGGACUUGAUUGAUCUCCGUAUGAAUAUUCAUGCAGCAUCCAGCAGUCUGUCAUCAAUAUUCCAGGAAAGGGAAAACUCCUCAUGUAAGGAGUUGGGGGAGGUCAACCUGUAGCUUGUGACUACUGCAUCUACCUAUGGGCUUCCAAGCUUGACAAGAUGUCCACUCUGUCCCCACUCCCACCCCCAUCCCAUUCUCUGACAGAUGACCCCUCAACGUUCCUGCCUACCUUACAGGCCAUGCCCUCCUCACCAAUCCUGUUCUCUCCUUCAGCUUUGGGCCUGCCUCACCCCACCCUGCCCGAAAUAUUUACCUACAGCCACGGUCCCAUCGUAACAAGAUACCAAGGGCUGUGUACCAACUCAGCAAGCUUGUUUACAGGCCCCACGUUCUCAAGUAGCUCACACAGCCUGCCCCUGGUCAGUGGUUUCCACAGACUCCCCUGUCCUGCCCAGGGUCCACAGUUAGAUACACCCCAAGCCUGGAGUAACAUCAACUCUAAGCCAGACCUCCAAGGAAGAGGGUAUCUGCUUCAUUCCCUGCUGUCCCUGUUGCUGUAGGAGCCCCCCAGGCCCCAGGCCCCAGAGGUCGUGGGCUGGCUCAGGGUGGGAUGCAGCUUAGUUAUAACCCGUCCUGGGAGAUGGUCACAGCUGGCCCCACCAGAGAGAGAUGAGAACUCUGCCUCAGACCUUGGCUUCUGGAAGAAUGGUUGUAUCUGGGGGAGUCAGCUGUUUUGGGAUGAGAUUUCCUAGGGCUGACACAGUACCAGAGUCCUCAAAACACAGCUCAGCAGCACCACACUCGGUGCUUCCCCACUGAGUCCACCGGCACCCUCCUAUGGCUGCUCUUCCGCAGGAGACUACCCAAGCAGUGCAGGGGUGGGGAUGGGGUGGAGUAGCGGGCCUGGCAGGGAAGGGUCACCUGGCAGCCUGUGCCCUUCAGUCUGCCACCCCACCCCCAGGCGCAGUGCGGGCCACACAACUCUGCCUGAGGCCCCAUGUGACACAGCUGCCAACAGGCCUGGGCAAGCAGCCUGGCGGGGUGGGGGAGGGGCACUGGGCUCCAGAUCGCUGAAUCAGCUGCUCUGGACCGUCCCUCCCUGGGCUAGGCUGCUGCCUGGGGGGCAGCUCCCUCUUUUGGGAACUGUUGGGGAGGCAAGCCUGAAUGCUGGGAUUUCCGGAAAAUCUCCCUUGCUUGCUUCAGCCUGGGACUGCUGCUUCCUGGGAGCCAGUGUCUCUAGGGGAGGGAAGGCUUCCUAAGAGGGCCAGGCAGAAGGGGACCCUUCUUUCUAAACAAGACCAAAAACGGAGAAGAGAAAGGCACCCUGCUGCUGUGAAUCUAGCACUCCCCCCCCCCCCCGAAAACGCUGAAUCAGCAUGUGAAGGCGCCGGCUCCCUCCCCUCCCCCUCACACGCUGGCAGGGACUGGGCCUUCCCAAGGUCAGGGGACAUCAAUAACCGCAGCUGAGUCUGUGGCUGCACAGGUCUGUGCUCUGGGUUGCCCCUGCCAUCCUCGGGAGUAGGGACCAUCUGGCUCUCUUCCUCACACUACCCUGGGAAGGUCACAGGUACUAUGUUUGUUUGGGUCUUCACCAGGGACUGCAGAAGCUGCUACUUGGUACAGGGGCAGCAAAUGGGUGUUCAGAGCCAUGAGUUCAUCCCAAGCCUGGGGCCCUGCAGCACCUGCCCUUUUCCCCAGGGUUGUAGGUAGCAGUGACCCGGUCCCUGUACCUCACAUGGGCCAGGGAGAACCUGAGUCAUGGCCAGACAGCACUGCUUCAGACUUUCCGUCUGUGCUGCCCACACCUGGCGGCCUGCUCACCUCCACUCCUUCCUUCCUGGUCCUAGCUCCUAACCAUCUUGCCUAGGGAGUAGUGCCAAGUCUUCAUGGGCACAGUCCCCUCUCUUCAGAUGCCCCUUUCUUGUGGUGAUGGUGAGGUGUAGGCCCUUCCUCCAGGAAGACCCAGAACCCAGCUCUGGUCUCUCAAGUUAACAUGUAGCCCCUGACACUGCACCCUAAGCACUCUACUGGGUCCCCUGAGCCAGCUCUGCAAACCUCAGAACAGUGCCAGCCGGCGGCCAGAUUCCUGGUCCUCCUUCCUGCCUCCCUCCCACCCACUGGGUCACAGGCAGCCCCCUGACUACUCUUCUUCGAAGUCAGUUCACAAGGCUAGCCUGAAAGCUGUCUGUUGCCUUUUCUACCUCAUGAACGUCAGGGGCCUAGGGCUCAGCAGCUGACCAGAUGGGCGGCUUUAUCACUGUGGAUCCUGUUUCGUAUCCAGCCACCGAGGCCUUCUGUCCACAGGUACAUCCUGUCUGUGCCAGGUCUGGUCCCCUGCCCUGCCCUUCAGCGGUGAGCUCAGUCCCAUUUUUAUACUCCUAUGUGCUGCCUUAAUAAACAAACAAAAAUGCUUGAAA
rnacentral:sRNA from 1 species